GUUUUGCUCCUUGAUUUCACAAAUUCUAUAAUGCACAGUACUUUACCAGAUUGCCUCUUACGGUAGCAGGGUAUUCAUGGAGCAUUAUCGAGAUGGCAUCAGGAAGAGAGUGUUCGGCAGGUGAAGCGCAUUUGUAGAAUCCUCAGACUUCGACGCCACUGCCCAGAAUCAUCUGAGCAUGACAUUGCCCGAGCUAUUUGUCCGAUGCCCUCUCGCCUUAUCCUUGCUGAUCACACUGUCCAACACUGCAAUGUCAUCAAGCUGCUCGGAGUGUUUAUGCAGUCCAAUAUCAAAUGGGACACUCAUGAUUGAUGUCCCAUUUGCAGGCCAAAACAAAUGAAAAGGUUAAAUUCCAUGACAUUUGAAAGAUAAUACUAAUUUAGAAUUGCCCUAAAGAAAGUUGGGCUUGAAAAAGUCUUCAAAUGGGCCAAUAAGUAACAGUCUUGAUGUUCAGACC